rnacentral:rRNA from 1 species
GUCUUUUUGAAAAUAAUAUAAAGUCUAAUCUGCCCAGUGAUUAUUAUUUAAAGGCCGCAGUAUUUUGACUGUGCAAAGGUAGCAUAAUAAUUAGUUUUUUAAUUGAAAGCUAGAAUGAAUGAUUUGAUGAAAAAAAUACUGUCUCUUUAUUAUUAAUUAUAAUUUUAUUUUUAAGUAAGAAAGCUUAAAUUUAGUUAAAAGACGAGAAGACCCUAUAGAGUUUAUAUAUAAAUUUAUUAAUAUUUUUUUGUUUAAUUUGUAUUUUAUUAUAAAUAUAUAUUUUAUUGGGGUGAUAGAAAAGUUUAUUUAACCUUUUUAUUAUAAAAACAAUAAUAAUUGAAUUAUUGAUCCUUUUUAGAUUAUUAGAUAAAAUUACCUUAGGGAUAACAGCGUAAUUUUUUUGGAGAGUUCAUAUCUAUAAAAAAGUUUGCGACCUCGAUGUUGGAUUAAGAUUUUAUUUUAAUGAAGAAGUUAAAAUUUUUAGUCUGUUCGACUUUUAAAAUCUUACAUGAUC